rnacentral:tRNA from 1 species
AAGGGAGACCUAAUUCGGGUAUAAGACGAAAAAAAAGUAGUCCCUACCAAGAAUCAAUCCCAAAAGGUCGGAACGAGGUAUGAGGCUUUCAAACUAGGUUCUGGGUUCAUAAAAGACCUGAAUCAGGAACAAGGGCUAUUAGCUCAGGUGGUUAGAGCGCACCCCUGAUAAGGGUGAGGUCCCUGGUUCGAGUCCAGGAUGGCCCACCUGCACAGGUGGCAAAAACAAGAGAAGCGAGGAAUCAGCACCUUAUCUUAUAUACAUAUAUAAGAGAGAAUGCUGGCUCUGAGUACAGAGUCCAGAGGAACCUUGAAAACUGCAUAGAGCUAGGUGAAAAAGCCAAAAAAGAAGACCGCAA